rnacentral:rRNA from 2 species
GGAUUAGAUACCCUGGUAGUCCAUGCCGUAAACGAUGAGUGCUAGGUGUUGGAGGGUUUCCGCCCUUCAGUGCCGGAGCUAACGCAUUAAGCACUCCGCCUGGGGAGUACGACCGCAAGGUUGAAACUCAAAGGAAUUGACGGGGGCCCGCACAAGCGGUGGAGCAUGUGGUUUAAUUCGAAGCUACGCGAAGAACCUUACCAGGUCUUGACAUCUUGCGCUAACCUUAGAGAUAAGGCGUUCCCUUCGGGGACGCAAUGACAGGUGGUGCAUGGUCGUCGUCAGCUCGUGUCGUGAGAUGUUGGGUUAAGUCCCGCAACGAGCGCAACCCUUGUUACUAGUUGCCAGCAUURAGUUGGGCACUCUAGUGAGACUGCCGGUGACAAACCGGAGGAAGGUGGGGACGACGUCAGAUCAUCAUGCCCCUUAUGACCUGGGCUACACACGUGCUACAAUGGACGGUACAACGAGUCGCAAACUCGCGAGAGUAAGCUAAUCUCUUAAAGCCGUUCUCAGUUCGGACUGUAGGCUGCAACUCGCCUACACGAAGUCGGAAUCGCUAGUAAUCGCGGAUCAGCAUGCCGCGGUGAAUACGUUCCCGGGCCUUGUACACACCGCCCGUCACACCAUGGGAGUUUGUAACGCCCAAAGUCGGUGGCCUAACCUUUAUGGAGGGAGCCGCCUAAGGCGGGACAGAUGACUGGGGUGAAGUCGUAACAAGGUAGCCGUAGGAGAACCUGCGGCUGGAUCACCUCCUUUCUAAGGAA